rnacentral:rRNA from 1 species
GGCCCCCCGACAAGUAUGUGGGGUCGAACCUGCCCAGUGACCAACAUCAAUUGGUGUAGUUAAACGGCCGCUGUAAUGGGUGCGAAGGUAGCAAAAUCUAUUGCCCUUUAAUUGAGGGCGUGUGAAUGGUUUGACGUAGGUUAAGCUGUCUCGCUGGAUUAAAAAUGAAAUUUACUUUUGGGUGCAAAGGCCCAAAUAAAAAGGUUGGACGAGAAGACCCUGUAGAGCUUUACCUAUAGGUUUGAUUGGGGCAAUCCGAGACAUAACGUCUUUGAUAAAUAAAACAAUAAGUGAGCCGCGUAGAGCGAUUAAUAGAAAAAGUUACCGCAGGGAUAACAGCGUAAUCCUUCUUGAGAGUUCAUAUUGACAGAAGGGUUUGCGACCUCGAUGUUGAAUUAAGGCGUUCUUGGGGCGCAGCAGUCUCGAAGGAUGGGUCUGUUCGACCUUUAAAGCCUU